UAAUCACUUCCGCGUACUGAUCGAGCUAUGAGAUCACUCACUUUUUUGAGCAUCGUUUUCAUGCAUUUAGUGGCUUCCAUAAAUGGGAACUCUUCGUGUAUGGUACGGUAUGGUUUGUGCAACGAGAACGAGGUAUAAAUUGCGCGACUGGCAAGUUUAUAUUACGCGUUGGUUUAACCUGUUAUAUCAGUGGAGCGGAAACGGUCCAGCAAAGUGCAGUACUAGUAAAUUUAUAGGAUUAAUCUCGUACAACGGAGCGGUGAGCAGUUCAGCUGUAUUGACGCGAGUCUGUAUAAAAUUUUCAAGACCUUUUUUAAAUGAAUUUUUCUCUUAAAAAUGCACGUACUAAAAACAUUUAAAAAAUAACCAUGCAAAAUUUUGAUUUUUUUUCAUUUAAAUCAAUUUCGACAAGAUUUUGUCAAAAAAAAUGGGAAAGAGAUAAAAAAGAAAGAAUGCAUCAGAACCAAAUUUUAUUGAGAUUAUGAAAAAUCUUUAUGAUGAGCAGAAAAUACUGAAACUCCAAGUGUGCGAAACAAAUGUGUUGUUUGAUGCCAAGGUACAGUUUACAAUUGAAAUAUAUAGUUUUUAUGAGAAAUGAAAAUUCGAAACUGUAAGAAAUUUUUUUGGAGGAAGAUUUGUCGUUGUCUACCUUACCGAUGAAGCGCUGCAUACAGCGAGCUUCAUAAAAUUUCCGAAAGAGGGCACAGACGUCCGAUUUCUCGUCAUUGGUUCAACGUCAAUAAUUCUCGUAGAUUCCUACUCAAAGGGUUAGUUUUAGCGCGGAAACGUUUGUGGUUCGUCAUGACAAUGACGAAUUUGCUCAAAUCAUCGGCUCUUUCGGUCAUUUGAAUCGUUAUCGAAGAUCUUCCAUCAUUUGAUAAUUUCCACUAGUUUAUUCAAAUAAAAAUGUUGACUAAAAUAAGAAAGCUCAAAAGUAGGAACUGUUCGGUAUUUUCGUCGUUGAGCAGAGUUUACUCAAAUGCUACAAAAAAACUUGUUACGAUCGCCUCUUCUAAAUCACGCCAUCACGCCACCCCUCUAGUGACAUGUUCGUAAUUAUUUGGUCGAAUUUUCUCUCUUAUUUACCCUACGAAGCACAUUUUGUUCUGAAUUUCUCCUGCGUUUGACACAUCGUCGACGAAAAAACUGUCGAUCGGAGACAGAUUCAUGCGUAUAUCUAUACGCAGACUGAAUACGUGUAAAAAUCGGUCUGAUGCUUUCUACUGUCCGGUGAACCCGACAAUAGGCGUCAUUCAUUCCAAUCAGCACAUCCUCAUUGGGCAUCAGAGAGUCGCAUUUACAUGUAUACAUACCGAUACGUACGUAUCUAUAUUUACACUCUGACGCUGUCAUGAUUCUCAUGCCUGUGGUGUAUGAUAGGACAAUUGUUUCGCGAAUUUGUCGUUUUGCAUGCAUAUGCAUACGGCGAUACGCAUACGACUUUAAAUAUAAUCCAAUUCUCGUGUUAUUUUUAAUCUCUCACGUGCGAUAGAAAUACGAAAGGAGGACACACGUUAACGCACAAAGGAUUUCCGUGUGAUUUUUUUCAAUUCUACCGCUCCACAUGAGCAUAGGAAAUCAAUAAUCGACCGUCUGGACUGCGAAAUAUCAAUGUGUGAGGAUUGCGGUCGUAUUUUGUUCGGAAUUAUAAAAAAUCAAUUUCCUUGGAAUUUAUAUUGUAGUUUGAGAAUCUCGAAAAUACAAGCGUCAAAAAUGAAGUGGAAAGACACUAAAUUCUCGGUUAGACUUCGAACUUUUACGGGGAUCCUUGCAGCCUGCAGAUUGGCAAGUGGAACGUUUCUUCUCGGAACAACAUUUUUUAAGCUGUUCAUUGUUCAAUAAAAUGAUGCUCGAAAAUUUGUGUUGCUUCAAUUACGACAAAAUUUUAUAUUGUAAAAUUUUUUGUGCUGAAACAUUUUUACGAAAAUAGGUUAAAAUUUUGCUUCUGUAUUACAAUAACAACGCGGUGUACCGCGAUUUCUAUAUCAGCUGACACCAGCAGGACCGAUUCGUUAAGAUUAGACCGUUAUUGACCUAGCUAAAUACACCGUUACACACAUACUGCGAGUCAACGCAUGCACUGCGAAACGACGAUGAUUUUUUAUGAAUACUUUUUCAUUAGCCGCAUCAACAGGACUGUUUCGUAAUUGUGGGAAUUCUCGCAGUUUCUUAAAUUCGUAACUGAGUCGAGACGGUCGAGGCCUUCGAUAAUAUAUCGAUACGGCGCAAGGGCGGCUCCCGGGAACGGAGAAAAUUGGAAGAUUGUUAAAAAGCAUAAAUUCAUGGUUUCCUGACUUCUCAAUGAACAAUUACAACAAUACGUUGACACCUGUAUAAAAAAUUUUGGAAAUAAAGUUGAUUUCACAAUAUUA
rnacentral:lncRNA from 1 species